AACGCACGAGACCUGCGGACCUGCGGAAGGAUCAUUAUCGAAUCCUUAGGAUGUUGCUGGUCUUCCGGACAUGUGCACUCCGCCUUUUCAAUACACCUGUGAACUUAUUGUAGGUGGCAAUUACUUGUCACCUAUGUUUUUAUAACACACCCUUGAAAUGUAUAUUGAAUGUCUAAAUACGGCCUUUAUUGGUCAGUAAACUUUAAUACAACUUUUAACAACGGAUCUCUAGAUCGGAAG
rnacentral:misc_RNA from 1 species